GUCGUUACCAACAUGUUUUAC
rnacentral:miRNA from 1 species